CCUACGGGCGGCUGCAGUGGGGAAUAUUGCACAAUGGGCGCAAGCCUGAUGCAGCCAUGCCGCGUGUGUGAAGAAGGCCUUCGGGUUGUAAAGCACUUUCAGCGGGGAGGAAGGCGUUAAGGUUAAUAACCUUGGCGGUUGACGUUACCCGCAGAAGAAGCACCGGCUAACUCCGUGCCAGCAGCCGCGGUAAUACGGAGGGUGCAAGCGUUAAUCGGAAUUACUGGGCGUAAAGCGCACGCAGGCGGUCUGUCAAGUCGGAUGUGAAAUCCCCGGGCUCAACCUGGGAACUGCAUUCGAAACUGGCAGGCUAGAGUCUUGUAGAGGGGGGUAGAAUUCCAGGUGUAGCGGUGAAAUGCGUAGAGAUCUGGAGGAAUACCGGUGGCGAAGGCGGCCCCCUGGACAAAGACUGACGCUCAGGUGCGAAAGCGUGGGGAGCAAACAGGAUUAGAUACCCGUGUAGUC
rnacentral:rRNA from 1 species